rnacentral:misc_RNA from 1 species
UAGAUAAGUCAUUCCAGCAUUAGUAAAUGUAUAUUGCCAACAAGUACUCAAAGUAUACAAAAUAGCAGAGAACAGAAAAAAUAAUUUUAAAAUACACACUAACUCACUCAGAAUGAUAGAUGCAGAAUCUAAAAUGUUCUAUUUAUACAAGCUUUUAAGAACAUAUUAAUGCUUGCAUCCUGCCCUAACAAUGUCGUUACUUUUUCAGAAAAAUUGAUAGAGAUGCAUUUAUAUGCGCACCCAGACAACCUGCAUCACUGUUAAAAAGUAAUGAAUAUCAAGUUCUCUUAAAUGGUUACAUCUUCCAAUGCUGCAAAGACAUGAUUUUCUCUCUUGCUUUUCUGUAAUCUUGGUUUCAAUAUCCUCCAGUGUUGGAAAGCUUAAGAUGUUACAAGAAGAUUGACUAAAUUUUGCCCCUCCCCCCUUCUCUCAGUUCCCCAACCCCACCCCUUUCUUAAACCUUUGAGGAGGAGUUUACUGGAGAGAUGAUAGGCCAUUACCAAAGUUAAAAGGAAAUUGUUCAUUCACUCUUAACGGCAUGAUAUAUGUGGGAAACAAAUAUGAAGGAAGCACGAAAGCUGACUGCACCAAGCAUCAAGAAAAAUGCAUAGCACAUGCAAGCAUUAUACCCAAUGAAGAAGGAUAGCUGCAUGAAGCCACUCAUACUUGAUCUGGCAAAGAAAAAGAUGCAAUAACUAAACAUAAAAAUGGCUGGUGCACCCCCACACAGCAGAGAUCUGCAUCACAAAGAAAAAACAAAAGAUGAACAUACGACAUGCAAUGAUGUAAAGGAAAAAAUGAAGGGGAAGAAGGAAGAUGAAGAAAAAGAAAUAAAGAAAGAAGGCACUCCUUUCAAUUAGUAAGAAGAAGCUAUAAACCAAAAAUAAAAUAACCCAAGCCACCAUAUAAUCCCUUCUCUUUUAAAUUUAAGUUUUUCCCCACUUCCCUUAUCCCAAACAGAGAAUUAUUGACAUGAUUAUGUAAAUAAUUGAACAAUAAAAUUGAACAUUUAAUAGCAGAAUGAUCCCAAAUUCCAACUACAAAUUUAAUUUGCUAAUCUUAUAAGCAUCCAUAACUAGAAGAUGUGUGUGUGACUGUGGCGCAUAUAGAUGAACUUUGCAAGAGAACAUACCUCCACCACCAUUGAUGGUCUUCUGCAGAAAGCUGAAUGUAUGUCAUACCAAUACUUAAGAUAGCAGUAAGUAGGAUAAGGAUGAUGAAAGUGACAAACAAAAUGCUGGGCAGUGUGCAUAUUUUAUAGCCCCACAAGCUUGCAUACAAGUGGUGCAACUCAAGGAUUAUCGCACUACAAGUUAAAAGACCCGCAAGAAACAUUUGAGCAGGUGUUUUCCUAUACCAUCCUAACGGUGGAAUCUCCCUUGGGUACCUUUUUGUAGCAGAAGGUGCUUGAAAUACAGAACUGAAACAGUACCCAAUAAUCCCUCCAAAGGCAAGCAAUGGAAUAGCAAAAAAUAUGUGUAUGAGAAGUAUCACCAUAAUGGUUCCAAAUGGAAGUGCAGCUGUGGUCCCAUAAGAUACAGCAAUGAUAUUCAAAAUGGACAGUAUCACAAACAAUGGACCAAGGUACAGAAUCCCAGUGAGAAGAACACUCCUUUUCCAUCCAGUUUCAGCAAACUGAUUGUGGAAAGAAGCUGUGGUGUAACCCCCAACCACAGAUGUGAGAGUAUAUACCCAGACAAAAGAAGAGCACAAGGCUCCACGAUUGUAAGGGUAGAGUACACCAACAAAUGCCAAAACAAAUAAAAAGCAAACCCUGAAGAAAAAUUGCAAAUAAAUGUCAGAAUAUGUUUAACACUGACAUACGGAUUAAUCCUACCAUAUAUAACAAAAGUGAACUCAGAGACACAUCCACAUACUUUGUGGAGUGAUUCUCCUUCAGAUGCCAUACAGGCAAGAUAUCAGUCACAGGCGUUCACUGUCCAAUAUCAAAAUAAUUUUGCAUACUUUAAACAAGUAUGGCAAAAAUGCUAGGACAAUGAUAUAAAGAGCACGCCAUUCAUAAACUUUGAGAACAAAGUAUCACGCCCUCAAAUCUGCUAGGCAUGAAAUCAUGGAAAAUUUGACGCGAUUGAGAAAAUAAAAAAAUUAGUUUUAAUGUCUCUCUGUGGCGACAAAUCAGUGUUGCUCCUCAAAUGUGGCAGCAACCAGGCAAGAGGACACAUAAAUAGUGCAAAACCUUAUAAGGCGUCACUUCAGAAUACAAACUUUAUGCUGAUGCAUGAUGCAAUCUAAAGAAUCGCUGAUAAAUUAUAGCUAUAGAAACCAAAAAUGUAAUCAUUACCAUACAAGGAAAGUCCAAAUUAUUUUUAUGAGGAAAAAAAAAAAAGACUACAAAAUUGAUGUCCUUAUGCUCACUUACAUUGUCAGCAACUGAGUGCCUGUGCCCAAGACAGCACAAAACAAGGAUAUAUUUUGUGGGCAUCUGAAAACGUCACCAUGAAUGUACUUCCAGCCAACCUCUUUAUCUUCCCCUUCAUCUCCACUAGAACACCUGUAAAACACACAAGACAAGGAAAAGAAUGCCAUAACUGAAAAAAUAGGCCUUUGAGCAUUACCAGAAUAAAUUCAACGAUGAACUAAGUAUUCAACAUUUCACUACUUUCUCAAAUCAUUCUUGAGACGCCGCAAAAAAAGCCCAGUAAGCAAUCCCAUCAAGAGCAAAAUGAUGAUGAUUGAGUUAACAAAUGAGAACCAAUGAAUCUGCUGGUGUACUGGAUGAAAAGAAGCCCUAGAAUAUUUGCCCAUCCUGGUCUCAAAUGGAGCUGAGGUCGCAUUCCAGAUAACUGAAUAAGUGAACUCAACAUCUAUAUCCACAUCUUCACUUAUAUCCACAGCAUGAUUUGGAUCACCAAAAGCACUUACUUCAAUAACUCGAUUGCCAUGAUAAAGAACACCAAACUGCACAUGUUUAAACAGAUAAUACUUAAACUCCCUAUUACUAAGAACCCAAAUCUGCUCUUCAACUUUCCCAAUAAAGCCCCAUAAUGGGAGAUCAUCAUAGUACAUUUGGAAG